UACGUAGGGUGCAAGCGUUGUCCGGAAUUAUUGGGCGUAAAGAGCUCGUAAGCGGUUUGUCGCGUCUGCUGUGAAAACCCGAGGCUCAACCUCGGGCCUGCAGUGGGUACGGGCAGACUAGAGUGCGGUAGGGGAGAUUGGAAUUCCUGGUGUAGCGGUGGAAUGCGCAGAUAUCAGGAGGAACACCAAUGGCGAAGGCAGAUCUCUGGGCCGUAACUGACGCUGAGGAGCGAAAGCAUGGGGAGCGAACAGG
rnacentral:rRNA from 1 species